ensembl:ncRNA B0034.10 ncRNA
UACACGUUUUCGUAUGUCAACAUCAGGCAACGAGCGCGCGCGAAAGCCUCUAAUUUUGUCGCCUCUGGGCGAUAAUUUGUAUUUCUCACACACGCGAUUA